UUUAAUUCGAUGCAACGCGAAGAACCUUACCUACUCUUGACAUCCAGAGAACUUAGCAGAGAUGCUUUGGUGCCUUCGGGAACUCUGAGACAGGUGCUGCAUGGCUGUCGUCAGCUCGUGUUGUGAAAUGUUGGGUUAAGUCCCGCAACGAGCGCAACCCUUAUCCUUUGUUGCCAGCGGUUCGGCCGGGAACUCAAAGGAGACUGCCAGUGAUAAACUGGAGGAAGGUGGGGAUGACGUCAAGUCAUCAUGGCCCUUACGAGUAGGGCUACACACGUGCUACAAUGGCAUAUACAAAGAGAAGCGACCUCGCGAGAGCAAGCGGACCUCACAAAGUAUGUCGUAGUCCGGAUCGGAGUCUGCAACUCGACUCCGUGAAGUCGGAAUCGCUAGUAAUCGUAGAUCAGAAUGCUACGGUGAAUACGUUCCCGGGCCUUGUACACACCGCCCGUCACACCAUGGGAGUGGGUUGCAAAAGAAGUAG
rnacentral:rRNA from 1 species